rnacentral:lncRNA from 12 species
GGGGGGGGGGGGGGGGGGGGGGGGGGGGGGGGGGGGGGGGGGGGGGGGGGGGGGGGGGGGGGGGGGGGGGGUGUUUCAGGUUGUUUUUGGGGUAUUUCAGGAUAUUUUGGGGUGUUUCAGGGUGUUUUUGGGAUGUUUCAGGUUGUUUUUGGGGGACUUUAGUAUAUUUUGGGGUGUUUCAGGGUGUUUUUGGGAUGUUUCAGGUUGUUUUUGGGGGACUUUAGUAUAUUUUGGGGUGUUUCAGGGUGUUUUUGGGAUGUUUCAGGUUGUUUUUGGGGGACUUUAGUAUAUUUUGGGGUGUUUCAGGGUGUUUUUGGGAUGUUUCAGGUUGUUUUUGGGGGACUUUAGUAUAUUUUGGGGUGUUUCAGGGUGUUUUUGGGAUGUUUCAGGUUGUUUUUGGGGGACUUUAGUAUAUUUUGGGGUGUUUCAGGGUGUUUUUGGGAUGUUUCAGGUUGUUUUUGGGGGACUUUAGUAUAUUUUGGGGUGUUUCAGGGUGUUUUUGGGAUGUUUCAGGUUGUUUUUGGGGGACUUUAGUAUAUUUUGGGGUGUUUCAGGGUGUUUUUGGGAUGUUUCAGGUUGUUUUUGGGGGACUUUAGUAUAUUUUGGGGUGUUUCAGGGUGUUUUUGGGAUGUUUCAGGUUGUUUUUGGGGGACUUUAGUAUAUUUUGGGGUGUUUCAGGGUGUUUUUGGGAUGUUUCAGGUUGUUUUUGGGGGACUUUAGUAUAUUUUGGGGUGUUUCAGGGUGUUUUUGGGAUGUUUCAGGUUGUUUUUGGGGGACUUUAGUAUAUUUUGGGGUGUUUCAGGGUGUUUUUGGGGUGUUUCAGGGUGUUUUUGGGGUGUUUCAGGUUGGUUUUGGGGUAUUUCAGGACAUUUUGGGGUGUUUCAGGGUGUUUUUGGGAUGUUUCCGGUUGUUUUUGGGGUACUUUAGGAUAUUUUGGGGUGUUUCAGGGUGUUUUUGGGGUGUUUCAGGGUGUUUUUGGGGUGUUUUAGGAUAUUUUGGGGUAUUUCAGGGUGUUUUUGAGGUGUUUCAGGGUGAUUUUGGGGUGUUUCAGGUUGUUUUUGGGGUAUUUCAGGACAUUUUGGGGUGUUUCAGGGUGUUUUUGGGAUGUUUCCGGUUGUUUUUGGGGUACUUUAGGAUAUUUUGGGGUGUUUCAGGGUGUUUUUGGGGUGUUUCAGCUUGGUUUUGAGGUAUUUCAAGAC